AUUUCUAAAAACAAUUGUUCCUAUAACUUCUUCUGUUCCAGCAGAUCGUUUAAGGCUUGGAGUUGCAGGUUUGGAAAUAAUUUCCAUCUUCUUUAUUUGCAACUCCUUUACUAAUAGCAUUUCCUCCCCAAAUUUCGUUGCCGCCGCGAAGACGUAGAUAUCCAAACGCCCCGGAAUCGUCGAUUUCUUCUUCUUGCGAAAGGGAGGUGAAUUAAAAUGCAAAGGAUGGAGAGCGAAGGAUUGAGUCUUGAUGAGCACGUCCCCCCUGCCGUUCCCACCGCAUAGUUCAAGUCAUAUGUGUGUGAGAUGAUCAAAAGCUAUGUAGAUAGACAGAAUGCUAGAUAUAUGCAGUACAUUGAACAGAAGAAAGAGCAGUUGGACUGCAUUUCUAAAAUAGAAAAAUUGAAGGAAUAUGGAAGUUUAAAAAAAUAUCAUCAAACAAAAUUAGAGAAGUUGGAAAAAAAUCAGAUGAUGUUCUGGGAAGAAAUGAAUGAGAUGAAGGAUUUAAUGUUCAAGACAGCGGUGAUAUUCGAGAAUAUGUGUAAAGAUAUUCCACGGAGUAAUUUUGAUAAUGAUAACAAAACUACAGCUAAUGAAGAGCAACCUGAAGCAGGUAAUGUUUUUAAAGGAGACAAUGUUUCUGAAGGAGGUGAAGGAGAUGCUCCAAGAAGGAGCAAGAGGAAGAAAAAAAUUGAUGUGAUUCUUAGGUUAACCAAAACAUGAAUUUUUUGUCUACUGCUUGGAACUACGCUAGUUUUGUUAAACUGGCAAAGA